CUCCUUACCCCGACGGACUGCAGUGGCCUGCUUCUUGUCGCUGUUCCUCCCUAGACAGUGUCUUCUCUGUCUCCUCUCCCUCCCUCCUUCUCCUCCUCCCUUCUCUUAAAAAACGAUCGUCUCCUGGGACAUAGCGGGUCCCCGGUAAAUCUUUGCCGAAGGCAGGGCUGCGUGGAGUGUGGCUGGAGGCGUGGCUGCUUUUCCAGGGAGCCUGACGUCUGUGAUCAUUGUAACUUGCGCCAGAGGCUCAUGGGGUCCUGUUACCUAGAAUUAAUUUCUGUGGUAACCGUGCAAAGUUUCCUUGUUAACGCUGAACUUGGCAGUGUUUAUAGAUUCCACAUGUAACAGAAGAAAGAGAGAGAAUAAAUUAAAGCGUUCACGUGUGUCCCUUACGGGCCCUGUAGAGUGCCAGGUUCGGGAGUCUGGAGAAUUGUUUUGACUGUGAUCUUCCAGAUAAGUUUUAAAAUCACUUUGUAAAUUUGUGUGAGAACUGAUUGGGAGAGCAUUGGAUUUUUCGACUGCCUUGGAGAAAAACGGCAUCUUUAUGAACCGGGUAUGUUUCCCUCACCUCUUCUUUCAUGACCUUUGGUACAUGGUGUCUUCUCUAUAGUUCGCCUUGGAAGUUUUCACUUGCUGUUCAUUCUGAUUAGAAUGUACUUCCGUCGGAUUCUCCGUAAUUGCCUCUGUGCUAGAUUCUUAGGGUUGCUGUAACAAAUUCCUAUGCAAUGUGAAUUAAAACAACAGAAAGUGGCCGUCUUGAUCCACGAAGAGAGCCCUCCCUGGGGACCUGGCCCAGCCAGCAUCUUGGCCUUGGCUUUCCCAGCCUCCCGAACUCUGAGGAGGGAGUGUCUCCUGCUGAAGCCCCACCCCCAGGACGGGAGCAUCCCUUCUCUGUCUCUUCCGACUUCUGGUGCCUGUGGGCACCCUUGCCUUGUGAGCACCACUCCAGGUGCUGCCUGUCUCCAUCGCUUCCUCGGCUCUGUGUCUUUCUCUCCUUUCUUUCUCACAUCUCCACCUGCCUUUCUCUUCUAAGGACAGGGGUCGUUGUGUCCACCUGCAUGGUCCAGGAUGGCUUCCUUACCUCAAGGUCCUAACUUACUCACACCUGUAGUCCUGCCCUUUCUAAAUAUAGUCACCACUUGCAGGUUCUGAGGAUCGGGACCUGGACACAGUCUUGGUGGGGGCACAUUUCACCUCAUUACAUCUUCUCAACUCAAAUGUCCCCUUUUCAGAUGACACUUUCUCUACCUUCUUUAUACUCUUGUACUUGAAAUUUUCAUAAUAAUUUGGUUGAUAUUUUAUGUAUUGUCUCCCUUUCCAUUUAAAAAAUGUACUUGGAGUUCCCGUUGUGGCUCGGUGGAAAUGAAUCUGACUGGCAUCCAUGAGGAUGCAGGUUCGAUCCCUGUGCCUUGCUCAGCAGGUUAAGGAUCCGGCAUUUCUGUGAGCUGUGGUAUAGGUUGCAGACACGGCUCGGAUCCGAUGUUGCUGUGGCUGUGGUGUAGGCCAGUGGCUACAGCUCUGAUUCGACCUCUAGCCUGGGAACCUCCAUAUGCUGCGGGAACAGCCGUAAAAAGAAAAAAAAAAAAAGUCUAGCUCUUUGCAGGUAGGGGUUCUGUUGUAUUUAUUAUUGUAUUUACACUGGUAUUCUGAUAACACACACUGGUUCAACUUUGUCUGUUGUUUAUAGCUGGUGUCUGCUGGUUGGGUAUCCACUAUAAUUAGUCUAUGUAAUAUUAUACAAGUUGCCAUAUAUCUUAGAUAUCAUUCCUGAGUGUUUAUCUAGCUUCUAGAACAGGCACUGGCACACAGUUAUUGUCAGUAAACAAUUGUGUUGACUAAGAGAUGGCGCAGAUAACACAGAAAAGGGUGCGGAUUAAUGCAAGAGGCCAGCUUAUGAAGAGAUUGCUGUGUCAUGAUAAGGAGUUUGAACUUCUUCCUGAAAAAUGAUAGAGAUUAAUCUUGGAGUUUUAAGUAAGGAAAUAAUAUAAUUAUAUCUGCAUUUAAAACAGGAAGUUCACAGUGAAUUACCCUGAGAUAUUUUGGAACCUCUGUUGAAGCUCUGAGGUGAUAUUCAGAAGGGUGGAGUGAGGUGGACAUAAAUCUGCCCCCCCACCCCUUGACUGCGCACUCGGCAUGUGAAAGUUCCCAGGCCAGGGAUCAAACUGAGCCACAGCAGUGAUAACGCCCGGUGCUUAGCCCGGUGCCCCAAAAGAGACCUCCACAUCCACCCCUUCCUGCUGACGUAGGUCAUUGCUUGUGAGCUACACAACACAGCCUUUAUUUCUCAGGAGACAUGUACGGUGUGUGUGUGUGUGUGUGUGUGUGUGUGUGUGUGUGUGUAUGCAGGUACACUUGACUGUUUGAAGAUUUUUGGAAUAAACGUCUUAAAACAUA
rnacentral:lncRNA from 1 species